GACGAACGCUGGCGGCGUGCUUAACACAUGCAAGUCGAACGAAGAGCGAUGGAAGCUUGCUUCUAUCAAUCUUAGUGGCGAACGGGUGAGUAACGCGUAAUCAACCUGCCCUUCAGAGGGGGACAACAGUUGGAAACGACUGCUAAUACCGCAUACGAUCUAAUCUCGGCAUCGAGGAUAGAUGAAAGGUGGCCUCUACAUGUAAGCUAUCACUGAAGGAGGGGAUUGCGUCUGAUUAGCUAGUUGGAGGGGUAACGGCCCACCAAGGCGAUGAUCAGUAGCCGGUCUGAGAGGAUGAACGGCCACAUUGGGACUGAGACACGGCCCAGACUCCUACGGGAGGCAGCAGUGGGGAAUCUUCCGCAAUGGACGAGAGUCUGACGGAGCAACGCCGCGUGAGUGAUGACGGCCUUCGGGUUGUAAAGCUCUGUUAAUCGGGACGAAAGGCCUUCUUGCGAAUAGUGAGAAGGAUUGACGGUACCGGAAUAGAAAGCCACGGCUAACUACGUG
rnacentral:rRNA from 1 species